GAACAUAUAUUUCUUUUUAUUCAUAGCUUUUAUGAUAGCAAUGUCAGCAGUGCCUUAGCAGCACGUAAAUAUUGGCGUUAAGAUUCUAAAAUUAUCUCCAGUAUUAACUGUGCUGCUGAAGUAAGGUUGGCCAUACUCUACAGUCAUAUUUCAGCAUAUAUUAAUAUUUCCAAUGUAUUUUCAGCUUUAUUGAUAAUUAAUUUUCAGUAUUACUUAUAGUCUUGUUAUAUUUCAUAUGAUUGAAUAAAAAUAAGUUAGUACUUUUAGAUGUGUAUUAAAAUAGUGUAUUGUAAUUUAGUAAUUGUGUUAAAUGUGAUCAAGAGUUUAUUGAAAGCUCAUACAGCAUCAAAUAAAUUUAUUUUAAUGUAUAUUUAUAUUCAGUUUAAAUAUUCAGUUUUUACUUCAGAACAGAAAUAUACUUUUCCCUUUCUCUGCUUAAGAGAAAUUAAGACAUUUGCUUAUCUCACAGAUAAAUAUAUAUUGUAAAAUAUACAUUUUGAACAGAACUUAGAGGAUAAUUUUUAGUGAUAUUUCUAAAUGUUCUGUUAUAAGAGAAAGGGGAAAGUAUCAAUAUAUGUGAAUUAAAUUCCUGAAAUCCUAUGUUUCAAAGAUGCGCUUAAUCAUAACUUUAAAGGUAGGAAAGACCUUACAAAUGACCAGUAUAUUUGUUGGAUAGCUCAAGAAAUGGGAACUCAAGUUAUUUGCUACACUUGCAGAUUAAGAUAUUAACCCUGUGUCUUCUGACUUUAUACUGUCAUAUUGGUUUUUUUCUUGUUUGUACUAAAAAAAAAUUUUUUAUCCUUAGCCACAAAUUCUUGUGUAUAAGUAAAAUAAAAAACAUGAAGGCCUUGUUUAGUCUUUCUAAUAUCUAGUGUUUAACUUUAGCAUAAUACCUACAAAAAUUAUUAUGAUAGUUACUAGUUUUACAGUUGCAAACAAUCAAAAUUUUAAUUAAAGUUUGAAGGAAAAUGUUUUCUUUACCUUCUGUUCCUUACUUGUUGAUGUUUAAUAAGUCAUUAAACUAAAAAUUGAUGUUCAGGAUAAGAAGAGUGUGUUUGUGUAGUGUACCAUAAUCCUGGUCUUACUUUCUACAAGAAAUAUGUCACUCCUUUAAAUUGUAAUCCAGCAGAAAAUCUAUAAAAUACAAGCAGUUCUUAGAAAAUCAUUUCUAUUUUAAUUGUCUAUUUGGAAACCCUUAAAGUAUUUCAGAUAUAACUUAAGGAGUUGUGUUUGAGCAUCUUCUGUUUAAUUUCAAGGUAAAGAAAAUUACUUAUUUUAAGAGAGUUCUCAUUUUUAAGAAGAGUCUCACUUUUUUCCAGCAAGAUUUUUCCCCAGAAUAAAGAGGUAAUACACUAUAUUGGCUAGAAUCAAAUGCCAGCUUUUACGUGGAAGUAAUACUGCCUUACGGCUUUUAAAAAUCAUUCAUCAAGCUUUUAACCUGUUUCCUUUAUUUCAUCUCAGCCAUUUCAUGAAAGACUGUUGCAAAUGUAUGAUAAUUUUUGGCUUCAUUAAAAAUAUUUCAGGAACUAAUAUGUAGAUACUUAGAAAUAAGAAAUAUUUAUUGAAUGAGUUGUAGAGUUUCUCCAGUAUUUUACAGAACAACCCCAGAAUUAAAUUUCUAUUUUGAUUUUGUUUUCCUUAAUGUAUUUGAAGUCAGAUUUUAGAAAAUUAUAUUUUAUCUAAUCUGCCUCCUAAAUGCAUUUUACUUUUACUAAGUAAGCCUUUAUAUCUAGGUGCUCAAGAUGUGAAAAAGGAUCACUUGGGGCUAAAUAAAAACUUGAAUCAUGAGAAUGGAUUAAAGAAAAAAUUGAAAUAUUGGGAGAGUAAGAAAGUAUAGAAAAACUGUUGUAUUGAAAUUUAUUAUAACAGUAUGCAGCUCCUUUCCAGUCUCUUAACAGAGAACAGGAAAUAGCCUGUCAAUACCUAAUGAAACACUCAUUUAGGUAACUCAACAGGACUUAAAAUCUUAUUUAUAAGGGUUAAUAUACUUCCAUCUUUGUGUAAUUUGUGUAAUUUGAAAUACAAAGAGCAAAUGGUAAAAUAAAAGUUAUACCCUUUCAUGUUAGUCUUAAUAUGGACAUUUAUUUUGCAAAGAAGAAAUAGUUAUAUAUGGGUGUAUAUUAAGAUGUCAUUUUUUCUGUCUUUGGAAAAAAAUUCUAAUCUUUUUCAUUCAAGUUUAAGUUGAUGCCAAAUAAUUACAGUGUUGAGCAUCUUAAAUCAGUUACUUGGAGUAUGGAUUGAGUUUGGCGCUAACUCAGAGGACUACAGGCAAGUAUUCAAGAUGUAGCCAGAGGGAUAUUUUAGUAGGUGAACAAUUCAUUUCACGUACUGUUUUCAAAUUCAGGUAUCUUAAGAUCACAUAUAUGUAAAUGUAGAAUUGAAAAUUUGGUCAUAGACUAUCAUAUUUAACAGCAAAGAUUUUCUUCAAUUAGUCUUGUGUCCUUUUAAUUGUUAGAGAAUUAGAAGUGUUUUUAAACCACCAAGUAUCAUUAGUGGUAUACUUGGUUAGUCAUAACUGGAUUAGCAGGAUUAUACUUUAAUAAACUUUGACCUCUAAGUGAAUGUAUUUAUUUAGAAGUUGACAUUCUAAAUCAUUUUUUUUUUCCUUUUGCAGGUGGAUAUUACUAGCCCUUAUUCAUGGAAAAAGUUUUAUGCUAAGUGUUGUUUCUCAUUGAGUAUUAGCAAAAAGGAGAAAAAUUAAUGUCCUAAUCUUUUGAGAUUAGAUUUGGCUCCAGCACUUAUUUUGACAUCACCACUGCCCCCAUCCAAAAAAAAAAAAAAAAUCGUAUCUUGUGUACCUAGACCAUGUGGAGAAAGGACUGGGACCAGAGGCAGAAAACAGACCCUGACCGUACAGAGCAAAGUGCCAGACAACAGCCCGUUCUAGUGAAAGGCAAUAAACGCCACAUGGGAUAAUCUCCUCAGUUCAAAACUUUACAUCUGACUUGCGUGCCAGGUCUGAUGACUUCUACUAUCUUUUCAUGACUUCUAAAUUAUGGAGGGACUCUGUUCACCGGAUCUAAUCCCGUGAAUCUAUUCAUCACCUCCACUGUAUAUUCACCUCCACUGUUUGGCACUGUGGGGGAAUAUAAAGACCAGUAUGAAGCACAAUCCCAGUCCUCAUCUUAAAAGAACUCAUGGAACCGCAGACAUUGCAACCAGACUUUCUUGGGGCGUUUUUACAAGAAGGCCAUAUGCCUGCCUCCCUUUCUAAAUCAAGACCCAGUUUUUUGUACAUGGUGAUGUCUCACUCAUCAUGCCCCAUUCUUUGUUGGAGUGAAGACAAGAGACUUACUGAGAUGAUCUUGACAGAUGUGUCUCCAGAUAUCACCUUUAAAAUAUUUACUAAAAUAAAAAAACACAAUCCACUCUGAAAGUACACUUUUCCUAGUCAAUAAUAUAUAAUUUUUAAAUUUUGAUAAUUUAUCUCAUUCUAAAAACCUCUGGAUUGUGAACCCAUGUCUUUUGAGGAACUAUUUAAUUAAAAGCCUAAGUUAAUUUAAACCCACUGUCAAUGUUAUGCAUUCUAUUUAUAGUAAACUCUAGAAGGGAAGACCGUAUUUUGCUCCUUGCAGUAUCCUCAGUGUCUAGAAGAGUAUUUGGCACACAAUAUCAAUAAAUAUUUUCUGACUGAAUUAAUUAAAUGUAUGUAUAUUACAUGUUUCUAUGGGUAAUGUUUCUAUUACACAUUAAAAAGAACAUUUCAUUUCUCAUCUCAAGCUAGUUUCUACAAGUGUGAAUGACUAAGAACACAUUAAUAGCAGUUUAAACAUUCCCUGUCUUAUUCCUUGCCAAUCUGUAGUUACAGUAUUUUUGCUUCACUAUUCUUUUAACCAGUUAUCAGUCUUUAAUAAUCUUAUCAGCAAAGCACUAUAGAGAAUUAAACAGUGUUACAUAUAAAACCAUGCCAACUUUACCCAGCUAGUUAAAUCACACACUGCCCAAAACUUAGCAGAAUGUAAAUAUUGUACCCUAGAAUAUGAUGAGAAAACCAGACCACAAGCUUCCCCAGAACUAAGAUGGCAGACUAAAACAACUAAGUGGACUUUUCUGCGGUAAAGAGAAGAAGAGUGCUACCAAGAACAAAACACUCAUUCAUAAGGCUUUUUUUUUCUUAUUUGGGUCAUUAUUUUUCAGUUGCUAACUUUACCAUUACUAAUCUUGAAGUAUUUUGCGCUUUUCCAUUAUACAUAACCUCUUGAGGUACUACUAGGAGACUUUUGAAAGGAUCUUUCUUCCCUAUAGCUUAGUAUACAAAUCUAUAAAUAAUUACUAGAAAUUUCUGUAAUGUAAUUCCUUUACUAAGCGUAAGGAUUUCACAGGAAAGAUGGUACGGUAAAAUUUGGAUCAGUUUGAGAUAAUAGGCCAUCCUAUGCCAAAGCAGUCCCCUGACCCUGGCACAUACACACAUAAUCUUUCAGGCAUGGGUUUUCCCUUUCUACAAAAGACCUACCUGGUCUGGUGAAAAGUAAGUCUUCCUCCCACAUUUAAACUGCAUUCACUUAGUUCCUUCUCCACAGGUGACCCGUAUCUUUGCUGAAAUUCCUGAAUAUAUAUAUAUAUAUAUAUAUAUGUAUAUAUAUAUAUAUAUAUAUAAUAUAUUUUUCUACAAAUGGAAACUACAUACUGCACAUAAAGUAAAAAUAUAUUUUUUCACUUUAUACAUUGUCUUACACUUUGAUUUUUUUCAACUUACAAAUGUUUGACAAUCCUUCCUUCUUAGUUUAUAAAUUGCUGUCUCAUUCGUUUUAAAGGCUGCACAGUAUUUUUCACUGUGACCCAUUCUCUAUUGAUGAACUUUGAAUUUAUUUCUAAUUUUUGCUGUUAUGAUGAUACAGUUUCUCACUUGAAUGUAAGUUCAUUAAGAAUAAGGAUUUUUGUUUUACCCUUGUUUUAAAUCGGAAAACUUAGUGUCCAGCAAAUGUUUAACAGAUGUUUUUGAAUGAAUGAAUGAGUUUGUACUUUUAAAAAGUACUCAACUGCUUCCACUCAACAUUUUUUAACCCUUUUAUGUGCAAAGUACUUGGUGCUCUAUUUUCUGGUUUUUGUUUUUCAGUGUUUAAACUAUGAAAGUAUGACACAUCUACAGGAGACUUGGAAAAAGAACAAAGUUACAUAUCAGUUCAGUUCAGUUGCUCAGUCAUGUCCAACUCUCUGUGACCCCAUGAACUGCAGCACGCCAGGCUUCCCU